AACCGCGACCAAUCAGGAUGAUCCAAUUUCUUUUCACCAUUGUUUUCCGCCGUGUGAGGUGCCGUCGUGCCGAACUCUACCGUCUGCCGAGCGUCCGGGGCACGCCGAACUGUGUCUGUUUGUAUGAUUUUUGUAAUAAUAUUUUAAUAUUAUUGUAGUCGGCGUUUUUUGUUUUUUUUACCGUCCUGAGUGUUGUAAUAUCAUAUUCUGACCCGUUGGUUCUAGAACCGGAAUCAAGAUGUAUACGGGUACUAGUGCUGACCAGGAUACUAGAUUCAGUGACAAAGAAAAAAAGCUUUUGAAACAAAUGAAAUUUAGUGAAUCUUUAAACGCUAAGGUUGAUAUGAAUAAAGUAAAACUAGAUACUAUCAAACCUUGGAUUGGUAAAAGAAUAACAGAAUUGCUAGGAAUGGAAGAUGAUGUUGUAGAAGAAUUUGUGAACAAUCAGCUUGAAGCCGAUACUUGGCCUGAUCCAAGAAAAAUGCAAAUAAAUCUCACUGGUUUCUUGAAUGGCAAAAAUGCUCGAGUAUUUAUGACGGAUUUGUGGGAAUUACUUUUGUCUGCACAGGAAUCUCCAUCGGGAAUCCCCCCUAAAUUUAUUGAGCAAAAAAAAGAAGAGUUAAAAAAGAAAAUGGAAGAUCAAGAGCGUGUGGGAGAUAUGAUUAAGAAGUUUGAAAAAGAUAAAGAAGAUAGAGAAAAAGAAAGAAAAAAAGAUAGAGAAAGGAGGAAAAGUCGUAGUAGAUCACAUACACGAGAUCGUCGUAGCAGAUCUAGAGAUCGCCAUCGUGAUAAACGUGAUAAAGAAAAAGAAAGAGAUAAAUAUAAAGAUCAUGAUUCAGAUAAAGUACGAGAAAAACAUACAAAAAGAGAUUCUCGUUCAAAGUCAAAAGGAAAACUUGUGAGUAAUGGACAUACUUCACCGACUAAAAAAGAAAAAAGUCGUAGUUGUUCACCUAAAAAUGAUAUUACCUCAACUGAGGAAAAAACUACUAAUCCAAAGACUUCAGUUUCGCCUGCUAAAGACAAAGUUGUAGAAACAAAUAAUAAACCUAAACCUAAAGAACGAUCAUUAUCUAGAGAUUCUACUAAACGCAGGGAGAAAAAACGGCAUCAUUCUUCUUCAUCAAGUCGUAGUUCAUCAUCGUCUAAUUCUUCUUUAAGCCCUGACCGUAAAAAAGAUUUUGAAAUUCAGAAAAAAGAAAACAGUAUCCAAAAAAAAAGACAAUACCGAACAAAUAAAGAUGAAUCGUCUGGAAGUGAAUCGGACAAAGAUAAAUCUACAGAUAGAAGAGAUCGACGUGAUCGUUCAUCUUCUCGAUCGAGGCGUCCAUCUAGACAUGCUUUUAAUCGUGGCCGAUAUCGUGAAAAAAGUCGUGAUCGUUAUUAUAGAGAUAGAGAAAGGGAAAGGGCAAGAGAAAGAGAACGUAAUCGCCGUGAUCGUGAACGGGAACGUAGAGAUAGAGAAAGAGCAAUUCGUGAAAGGGAUCGUGAACGUGAUAGACGUAGGCAAAGAGAAAGAGAAGAAAAAUCAUCACCUCGAAGAAGGAAAUCCAGAAGUCCUGAAAGAAAAUCUAGAUCAGGCAGCAGACAUACAAGAUCUCGUUCAAAAUCUAAAAGGAGACCAAGUGGAAAAUCACGUAGCAGGGAACGUACUGUUAAGGAUUCUAGUAUUAUUUCUCCCACAAAAAAAGAUAACACUUCAAAAUCAAAGGCUUCUCAAGAAAGUUUAUCUAGAACUCCUUCACCUUUUAAGAAAGUUGAAGACAAAGCAGAACGUAAACCAGUAAAAGAUAGAUUGGGUGUUAGAGAUGAACAACAUUCUAAAUCUUCUCAGCCACAAAGAUCAAAAGGACAAUCUCCUUCAUCGGAAAAGAAAAAUAACACUGAUAAAAAAAAUUCAUCUAGUUCUAGACGAAGGUCAUCAACAUCUCCUGCUAUUAAAAAGAAAGAAGAAGAUAAAACAGAAAAAGUAAAAAAACCUAUGAAGAAAUCUGACACCUCUGAUGCCGAAAACACCAAAAUUAAAAAAAAGGAAGAAUCAAGUUCAUCAGAUGAAUCAUUAAAAAAGUCUAAAAAGAAAGUUAAAAGAGAUUCUAGUUCAGAUGAUGAUAAAGUAAAGGCUAAAAAACGAAAACUCAAGGAUUCUACUUCAUCUGAAGAUGAUGAUUCUAAGAAAAAAAAGAAACGCAAAAAGAGAUCGUCCAGUUCAAGCUCAGAUGAAAGUGACAGAGAUGACAAAAAAAAGAAAAAGGACAAGAAACAUAAAAAACAUAAGAAGCAUAAGAAACACAAAAAACAUAAGAAACGCAAGACUGAAGAAAGUGGUUCUGAUGCCAAAUCUGGAGAUGAGUCGGAACAACGUUUAAGGGAGAAGGCACUGCGUACCAUGAAAAAGAAAAAUCAGGCUAAACAUGACGGAACCCCUAACAGUAAUAGCAGUGAUUAACAAAAGAGGUAAGAAAUUCUUUGUUUUUGUCAUAUCGAUCGUUGUAAUUCUAGCAACGAGAAUUUGACAGGUUAGCCCUACUGUCCAGUCAACAGGCUGACUUGUUGGCAGAGUUAUACUUGCAUCAUUUUCAUAGCGCUGUCUGAUCGUUUUUGAAGCCCCGCAAUUGUUUUCUUUCAAUCAACAUUUUUAAUGAGCAACUACAAUACAUCUAUCAACAUUCAUUCUGCAUUUCUCCUAUCAACAUAUCUGCAAUCAACAUUACUUCUAUCAACACACCCACAAUCAACAUAUCUGCUUUCAACAUAACUUCUGUCAACACAUCCACGUUCAACAUUCCUUCUAUCAACACCAAAUCUUCACUGCAAUCAACAUUUCUCUCAUCAUCAAAUAUAUUUCAGAUCAUUUGAGUGUUCUGUGUUUUCAAACCAUUGAAAACUAUCGCUUCAUCCACUAAUUAUUCAUAUCCGUAUGACUAGUAUGAUCUAGAAUAAGAUGACAUGUGAAUUGUUAAUAUCUUGACCAAUGAGAGUUGCGUUAUGGAUAAAUACAAUAUCUACGACUGCUGUUUGAAAAUGUACCUAGACCAAUUGAAAAUCUACAGUUGAUCUAAAAAGUUUUUGGCUUAUGUCAAAUUAUUCAAUUAAUAUAAUACAAUAUAAUCUUAUUUUGUUUAAAAUAUUUUGUUAUGAGAAAAACUAUUUUAAAUUUAAUUGUUUUGUUUCAGGGCUUAUAGUUAAGAAGAAUUUGAAGUAUUAGUAAUAAUUCUGAAGAAUGGUUCUUAGAAGAUUUCUUUAAUUUUAAUAAUUUUUUUUAAUAAUUUUUCAAUAAUAAACAAUUUAUAACAUUAACGCAAUUAUACACAUCUUACAUAAAUAUAUUAUAUUCAAUUUUUAAAAAUGUAUCAUAAAUUAAAAUACAUUGUUUAAUUUAAUAUUUCACGUAAGCAAUACAACAUAAGUUACAUUAAUUAGUAAUAUGUUAUUAUUAGCUAUUACAAUUAGAUAAAAAAUAAAUAUGACAUAUAUUUUUAC